rnacentral:tRNA from 1 species
GGCUCAGUUGGUAGAGCGCGCGGUUUGGGACCGUGAGGUCGGGGGUUCGAGACCCUCC